CUAGAGGGUGAAAAGCCUUUGGCCAAGCCCAAGUGCGUGCAACUUACUGCUGUUCUGCAACUGAGCUGCAGUUCUCCAGACUCAUUAAACAUCACCAGUCUCAGGAAAAUCUAACAAGGACGUGUGCUUGGAUGAGAACUCUGCUGGAUUGAAAUAUUAAGCGAUGACUAUUCAUAACACUGACAGAAACUGGUAAUUUUUUGUCGGAUAGUUACACCCAUGCCUCACAGUUCAGGGAUUCCAUGGGCUACUGAUGCCAGCUGGGUUCUGGUAAGUUCUGGACUUGGGCAUUUAGGCCCAACUUGUUUUACUGCUAUCUAAAAUAGUUGCUUUCCAGUGUUCAUGCAUAUGGCCAACUUCCCUUUCAUUCAGUAAAGUACUGUGUAGCGAUUAAAAAUAUCACAACAGCUUUAGGCUUUUUCUUGGUCUCUACAUAUUAUUCCUCUAUGCAAAGGUCUCUGUAAUGUCUUUAGGGAUUUCUGGAGAUUUUUUUUUAUAGGUCUGUAGUCUAAGCUGCCAUAUGAAUCUUUUAUUUUAUAUAUAAACACCACUAUUUACCAUAAAGAGCUCAACAACUAAAGUAGUACUUGCUGCAUGCCCUUGAGAGGUAAUCUUUGCUGCUUGGCUCAGUUCUUCAGAGCACACGUGUUCUUCCUUCUUUGCAGUGUUUUUGUGUCCAUAAAGGGCAAGAAAGGAUGUGUUUAUUUUUACCCAUUUAGAAAGGGAUAAAGCUUAGAUCAGAUCUGGGACUUGAGUUCAGCACUUGAGUAGCAACACUUACAAAGGCGGAUCGAGACAAGUGAAAUUGGAUUUUGUUAUCUUGUGUUAAAGGCUCUGGCAUGCUCAUAUCUUUAAAGCAUUAAAAGCUAAAUGUCCUCAGAUUCAAUAUCCUUUAGGCAGGAGAAAUGCUAAUGUGAAUGUUAGCUACAAGCCUGUUUUCCAAUGAAACUACAUGAACUUGUUGAAAAUGUUUUUCCAACACCUUAUAACUAUUAAUACCUUGACUAAGAAAUUUGUUUGGAGAUAUUACUGCACAUUCAUGUUGCAUUUUUAAUAACCCUGCCGAGGAAAGACAAUAUUGGUUGGUUUAUACAGACUCAAGUGAGUCGAUAAGUGGGUAACAGAUGCAUGUGACAUGUUGGAAAACCACUUACAGAACAAUAGCCAAAGGUCACUCCUUGUCAUAUCUGCAGCGUGUGGCAGAACUGCAGAGCCUAAACUCCCUCUCCUGCUCUUCCAGACAGGAGAAAUGUGAACUCCUCUUCACAGAGCCAUGCAUAAAUAGAUUGCCUUCAGAAGAGGAAGACUUGGUGGCAGGAGCUGGUUACUAUGGCUAUAUGCUCACUCUAAAUGGAGGAAUCAAGCCAGUAAUCACUGUAUACAUUAGCUAUAUUUGUAUAUGAGGGAAGCUCAUUGCCAGCAGCUGUGUGAAGGUGUCAUGAUGAAAAUCCAACUUGGAUCUUGCCAGUCAAGGCUUGGUGUCUUUCAGGCCUUUAAAUCAGUGCAGACUGAAAGCAGCAAAAUCUACACACAAUAGGAUCAGUGCUUUGUCCUCCUGAAGCCUUUGUUUUGCUCUGCAGAAAGGUUUCUUCUUUUCUGUGCCCCUAGUGAUCACAGAACAGCCCAGGUAGGAAGGGACCUGGAAAACUGGAAAGAUCAUCUGGUCCACCCUUUCAUGGGAAAGGGAGCCUAGCUGGGAUUGUAUUCCUCCUGCUCAAAUCACAUCCUACAACUUUCCAGCAAUGGGCUUUCUCCUCUGUCCCUGGAGAAGUUGUUCCAUUGGGGUGGAAAUGGCAUGUCAUGAUGCUGGCUUGGAAAUUACGGAGGUGCUAGCAAGCCUGGGCUCUGGGUACAGAAUAUGACAAAAACAACUCUUAACUGUGUUGGCUUCAUAAUCCAGCCUGCAGCCAGCUACUGACUUGUUGGGCUGUCAUCAGAGCCACUUCCCCUUCGUCAAAUGACAUUGGAAAUCAUCAGUGAAGACAAAAGUAGCUGUGGGUGGUGAGACAUCUAUAGCACAACCACAGCCUUAUUUUUGUUGCUUACAAAUUUAAAGUCCUUUGCCUUUCCUUUUUGAAGCUAUCCACUGAGGCUAGAGUUCUGUGGGGUACCUAAUAAAUUUUGUUGCAGGGUGGCUGUUGGUGGCUGUCAGAGGGGGCCAAUGGUUUCCCCCUUUUUCCAGGGCUGCAGGAACAGGUAAGUAUUUGAUAGGUGAGCGGUUAAGCCAAGGUUGUUACCACCAAAGGCUUGCUGAAGCUCUUGUUCCUGUCUCCAGUGCCCAGAUUUUCAUGCAUGUGGUGGGAGCAGUGGACUUGGGUAUGCUCAGGAGGUGGCUUGUAAGGUACAGCCCAAGCUGAUGGAGCACUUCUACUACCUGCUGUCACUUGUAAUUCCACUGUUAAGGCUGAAGAGGGUUUUACACUUCAAAUAGGGGCUGGAUCUUUAAUCCCAAUGGAAAAUAGAGCAUAUUUGCUGCAGAUGUAAAAGCUUGCCUUUUAAAAACGAAUUAGGUUUCUGCAGUCUACAAAUAUUUUAAUUAGCUGGAGUUCAAAUUAAUUAAAAACUGUCAUUUAAAGAAUUAAGCACUUGCAGGUUUUACAGAGUUUUGAAUGAUCUUAAUGGAAUAAAAAAAUGUUUGGAACUUUCCGUAUAAUUAAAAAUAAUUGAAAUCUUCUGCCUGCAUAUAUAUGAAUAAAUCAGCUAAUAAUUAAGCUAAGUCAUUAGCAGUGGCUAUAUUUAAUGUUACAUCUAGAGUAUAGCCUAAAAACUUUUAACUAGUGCCACCAUGAAAUUGGAAAUAAUGCAACUUACCAUCAGUCUUCUGCAAUGACUGGAGUGUUACUCUUAUGGGGGAGACAAAGAACACACAGACUUUCACUGGUGGAUUAGCUGUGUCACUUAGCUUUAGUCUUUAAAGGUUAAAUGGCUUAAUGGUUGAAUGGCUUGCAUGUUUCUGCUUGAAAUGUCCCCCAUACCACUGAGACCUUGCCUGCUGCUGGGAACGAGGGAGAACCACAGAGAACAUCUGGUGCUGGCAAGAUCCCUCCAGCAUUUCUUUGUAUGUGUUCUCCCUCUAGAGAAAAAAAUGCCCUAACCCAUAGUAGAAGCCAAACCCGUCUGGAAUGGGCUGCUUUGUGAGAGGCUUUGGUCAGGCAAACCAGGUGCCAGCCUCUUUAGGGGUUGGUGGCUGCUGGUUGUCUUAUGCUUCUCCAGUGGCUCUGCCCUUAAAAUAGCUCUCUGAUCAUCCAGAAGGACAGAAAUCUUGUACAGGAGCCCCAGCUGGUGCCUUUCGUUCAGUCUCCACACAGACAUUUUGAAACAGGAACUUCCUGAAGGGAAGAAAAAGCAUGAUAAAAUGAAUGAAUGCUAGUGAUUACUCAUUCAGUGAAUCCAGAAAGGUGGAUCCAGCUCUAAAAAAACUCGUAGGAAUACAAAUAGAUGCCUUAGUCACAAUCUGUCCUCACUAUGCCACAACACGAAGACUCUUUGAAGACUGUAGCUGCAUGUUUCUUACUUCAAUUCAGUUUGGUUUCUCUUUAUCUCAUCUCUAAAUUUCCUGGAUUAGUGAUGCUUGGUUGGAGGCUAUUGGCAACGUCAUUGUCAUAUUCCUAACUGUUAUUCUGUCCUUAAUAUUUUACUUCAAGCUGAGUACAUAAAUGCUGUACUGGAUUUACUUAGACUGGCUGAUCAAAAAUACCAUUGGUGUGGGAGGAUGGUAUAUAUCCUCUCUGAAUUUGCAUUUUUAAUAUUAAUGAUCUGUUCUUAUCAUCAGUUCACACAGAAUUUUCAGCUUUUCUUUUAUUUAGGGACUCUAAUCCUUUAUUACUAGGAAGAUAUUCUCUUAGCAAGUGCUGGAUUAGGUUUUUUUUUAUAUUUGAGGUCUCCAAAGAAACUCUGAUAAACAUGGCAAGCAUUGAAUCUUGUGAAUUAUGUCCGUGGUUAAUAUCUCUUGUCAGGUUGCAGUAGCAACCAAGGCGAAGUGUCCACCCUGGUGUUUCAGCGAGGGGUUUAUUUUGGGGAGGAAAGGGAUAUCUUUGAAGAUACUGAUGAAUAAAGGAGGAAUAAGAUUGAAACAAAUCUCUGCUAGCUAUUAUUUUUUGCCCAUAUCUGGUUGUCUUGGUUUGUAAAAGUGGAGCCACAAGCAAUGAGGUCUGCUGGUGUUCUCCUUCUGCCAUGUCCAAGAAGAGGGAGGUGUGAAGGGAGAUCACAGGUCACCUCCUAGACCAUCUUGUCCUUGGGUGAGGGCAGGGAAAGAAAGGAGGUGACACUAAGGAAAACCAAAUGCUCUGAAUCUGCUCAGGUAUGGCUAAAUGACUGAUCUGAAUUCUCUUUGAAUGCGCCCAUUCUGAGCAGCCGGUGGGGCCGGGCCCCUUGCCCCACACACGUGCUCCCUGUGCUCGGUCUGUUGCUGCUGGACAGGACACAGGGACACAGACAGGAGCCCCAUCCAGUGAGGGAGCACAGUGCAAAAAUACCUUUCUACUGCUAAUACCUCUUCACUUCUGGUUCUGAUAAUGGUAGUAGGAGACACGCAAAGGAGAUAACAGGAUGAUGGCAGGUGUUGCUGAGCCCCAGAGCUUGGCGGCGGUGAGGGCACUCAGGCUGCCCUUUUUUCCAUGUCAUGACUUUAUCAGUGAUUCAGGGUCAGGGGUGUGGAGUUCAUCUCACCAAAGCCCCAUGUGAUGUGUCACACUUUGUUGCUGGUAACAAACAGGCAGUGGUGUAGAGAAUAGGGAGAGUGUGGAAGGUUCUGUUUUAUUUGUCCUUUCGGAACUUCCUUCCAUAAGCUUCAUACUUUUCUUGAAUUCUCAUUAAAACAUAUAUUGAAUCAGUAGUCUGAAAGACUGUGUCUUUUCUGGUUAAGGAAGUAUUUGGGUUUGAACUUUGAACUUCAUGCAUAUGCUAUGAAAAAAUGAGUAAGACCUGUCUGCAUUGCAUGAGUAUGUGACAGAAUGGUGCCUACUGUUGGACUUGGUCUGAAAUAUCAUUUGGUUCAUUAUUUCUGGGGAAUGGAUCUAUACAUCUGCUUUCUGAUUAGUUCUCUCACUGAAAUAAAUUCUGCUAGUUGGUGUCUCACUUUAAUGGGCAUGCUUUUUACCUGACAGGGUACAAACAUCCUGUGUGGCACUAGAAAACUGUAAGUAGUUCAGGUGUAUUCAGAAUAGUUUUCCAAUUGUUGCAAAUAGCUAAAACCCACGUCUGUGUGUCCAGUGAAAAUUGAGCCAAAUCUUCCUUCAACAUAACUGGAAGUAUAAUGGGCAUUUUGAUUGCCUUUGAAUGUAUCUACCUAUUGUGCUGUGAACAACAUUACCAAUUAGUGCAUUUCUCAUUAUGUGUGCAGCAUCUGAAAUCUGCUCCUCUCAUUCUUGACUCACAAUAAACUGCUCGGGUAAGAAACAACUCGUUGUUCAUUUUUACACAGGUAAAAUUCCUACUUUUAAAUCCAAGUGAGUGUGACAAAGAUGACCCGUGUGGUGAGAAGCCUGUCUCCCCAUGGAGAAGGGUGGGACUUGCUCUGAGGGCACCAUCAAAUUCUUACAGCCCUAUUGCCUGGCAUUUCUCCUGGUCCAACAACAUGAGCACGAACACACUGCCUGGUCCUUCUUUGAAGGAGUUAUUAUUAAGAUCUCACUCUCCUCUCUAGAAGCAAGGCACAGCCACUAGACCUGCAGAAAGGCGUCUGGAAAGGUGAGAUGAAAAACAGCGUACACCCACAGAGUGGUAGACAGACUUUCAACCAAGACUGUUCCCAAAUGCCCUGUUGGUGAAGAGAUUUGAAUAGAUGAACCUGCUGGUGGAAAGUUACUGUGGGACUUUGGAUCUGCAUAGAUCCAAAUCCAAGGUUUUCUGUUGAGUUUUGAUGAAAAUGAGUGACUCAGCUGGGCUGGUGGUCUUGUCAAAUGAGUUCUGUAGAGUUUUCAUGCUGCUGAGUGACUGGUAUUUAAAGUGAACUUCAGAGGGGCCCACUGAGGCAAGUGUUCCAUUCCUGUUCAGCAUUGGUACAGCAAUCUAGCUUUGCUGCAUAUGUUAAUGUUUUCUAUCCCUUUUCUAGACCAUCGGGUGAGACCAAAGUGCCUAAAACUACAUACACAGCAGAUACUUUGGCUUUAUGCAAGAAGCCUCAAGUAUGUGAUCUGAUAUUUUUUUGGUUCUGCCUCCAUUAUUUAUUUUUUUCCUGUAAAGACAAAAUGUAUAUUUCAGUUACAAAAAUAAAUAAAUAAACAAACAAAUAAAUAUUUAAAAUCAACUCAAUUCUGUUGCAACAGGAUUGGCUGCUGCUGGGGAUCUGGUAUGACUCUGAGGAGAGUUGUGCCUGUAGCAUCACUGGAAAUCUCAGCUGCUGCUCACUGUUGUGAUAAAAUCGUUUGUCCUCCUCAAAGGCAAUGCCUGGCUGCUCUCAGGGAUGGUGUCUCCAUGUGUUUUGGUCUAGGUAGGUAGUGCAGCCUUUCUUCAUUUGGAUCCAUAGGUUCCUCUGUGUGGUGCAGCACAACCUUUUCUCACCAGCCCUCUCUCCUGUAACUCUUGUCAUCUCAUCACCCCUGGCUCUGCCCUCCCCAAACAGCUCACCCCUUUCCCAUCUCACCCCGCUGUGCCUCUCCAGAGAUUACCCUGGGGUUAGACAUGAAGACUUGUCACACAAAAUAGGAGAGCCCUGUGCAGAAGAGAGGCUGAGCCCAAGGCACUUCAGGGGGGUUUGCUGGGGGCAGGAUUUCAGCUCCAGCACCAGGGGAGAACAGCAGAACGGUACAGCAGCACUGGCAGGGUCAGUUCUGCAGGUCUCCAAAAGAACAGGCUGCUUUUUUCUAGUACUGAGCUGCAAGUGUGGAGCAUCCCAGCUGGGAGGGGAGAGGUUAGAAAAUAAACUUGUUUUCACAUUUAAAAGUCUAUAUAUAUAUAUAUGUAUAGAUAUGUUUAGACAUACACACAGAUGUAUAAAUACAUAUGUGUGUCUCUCCUAUAUAUACACUUACAUGCACACACCAGCCAGUCACUCCAGAAUAUUGCUGUUGGAGAGAAGGAUGUCGUGCCCAUUUUGGGAGGUGUUUAAAUUCAACUGACAAAAAGUGUCAAAUCAUUAGGCCAUGUGAGAAGCACAGACUUGUGCUUUUUCAGGCAGAACAUAAUACUCCUCAAAAUAGAUUUUCUUUAAAAAUUGGCCUUAAUAUUUCAAGAAGCUUUGCUGACUGAAUUUUCAGCAGAGGUGACCAGUCCAGUGUAUCUGUAUUUGGAAUGAAAUAAUGUUUUGUUGUUGUUUACAGAACAUAAAUGCUGAAAAACUUGAGCAGCCGUCCUUCCUGCAGCGCUUUCCUGCUAUUCAGCAUCAUCCCAAUCACAUUAGGUUUAUUCUGUCAGCACUUGCAAAGUUAAUAAAG